rnacentral:rRNA from 1 species
GAUGAACGCUGGCGGCGCGCCUAAUACAUGCAAGUCGAACGCUUUGUGGUUCAACUGAUUUGAAGAGCUUGCUCAGAUAUGACGAUGGACAUUGCAAAGAGUGGCGAACGGGUGAGUAACACGUGGGAAACCUACCUCUUAGCAGGGGAUAACAUUUGGAAACAGAUGCUAAUACCGUAUAACAAUGACAACCGCAUGGUUGUUAUUUAAAAGAUGGUUCUGCUAUCACUAAGAGAUGGUCCCGCGGUGCAUUAGCUAGUUGGUAAGGUAAUGGCUUACCAAGGCGAUGAUGCAUAGCCGAGUUGAGAGACUGAUCGGCCACAAUGGGACUGAGACACGGCCCAUACUCCUACGGGAGGCAGCAGUAGGGAAUCUUCCACAAUGGGCGAAAGCCUGAUGGAGCAACGCCGCGUGUGUGAUGAAGGGUUUCGGCUCGUAAAACACUGUUGUAAGAGAAGAAUGACAUUGAGAGUAACUGUUCAAUGUGUGACGGUAUCUUACCAGAAAGGAACGGCUAAAUACGUGCCAGCAGCCGCGGUAAUACGUAUGUUCCAAGCGUUAUCCGGAUUUAUUGGGCGUAAAGCGAGCGCAGACGGUUAUUUAAGUCUGAAGUGAAAGCCCUCAGCUCAACUGAGGAAUUGCUUUGGAAACUGGAUGACUUGAGUGCAGUAGAGGAAAGUGGAACUCCAUGUGUAGCGGUGAAAUGCGUAGAUAUAUGGAAGAACACCAGUGGCGAAGGCGGCUUUCUGGACUGUAACUGACGUUGAGGCUCGAAAGUGUGGGUAGCAAACAGGAUUAGAUACCCUGGUAGUCCACACCGUAAACGAUGAGUGCUAGGUGUUUGAGGGUUUCCGCCCUUAAGUGCCGCAGCUAACGCAUUAAGCACUCCGCCUGGGGAGUACGACCGCAAGGUUGAAACUCAAAGGAAUUGACGGGGACCCGCACAAGCGGUGGAGCAUGUGGUUUAAUUCGAAGCAACGCGAAGAACCUUACCAGGUCUUGACAUCCCUUGACAACUCCAGAGAUGGAGCGUUCCCUUCGGGGACAAGGUGACAGGUGGUGCAUGGUUGUCGUCAGCUCGUGUCGUGAGAUGUUGGGUUAAGUCCCGCAACGAGCGCAACCCUUAUUACUAGUUGCCAGCAUUCAGUUGGGCACUCUAGUGAGACUGCCGGUGACAAACCGGAGGAAGGUGGGGAUGACGUCAAAUCAUCAUGCCCCUUAUGACCUGGGCUACACACGUGCUACAAUGGCGUAUACAACGAGUUGCCAACCCGCGAGGGUGAGCUAAUCUCUUAAAGUACGUCUCAGUUCGGAUUGUAGGCUGCAACUCGCCUACAUGAAGUCGGAAUCGCUAGUAAUCGCGGAUCAGCACGCCGCGGUGAAUACGUUCCCGGGUCUUGUACACACCGCCCGUCACACCAUGAGAGUUUGUAACACCCAAAGCCGGUGGGGUAACCUUCGGGAGCCAGCCGUCUAAGGUGGGACAGAUGAUUAGGGUG